GUAGCGAGUGUUAUGGUUUCGAGUGUCGUGCUCUACGGAUAUUCUAUUCUCUUCUCUUGCUCUCGUCCUUAAUAUCCGGGAAACUCGUGCGAAUUUAUCUUGAUCGUAAGAGCGAUGGAAACUCGGUAAGGAAGGAUCGCAAUUUCAAACCGUGUCGAUUACGUCGCUUAUUGGAAACGGUGCGAUGCACGCGCGUUGGCAAUGGGACAUUUCGCGAACGGAAUAGGAAACAUAAAAUUUCACCGGAACUCUAGGUUAGUGUCGGAUAAUUCGUCGAGUAAAAGUAUGAACAGGGAGGCGGUGAACGUUGUCGAUCCUCCGAUGACUAAGCAACGUAAACAAGUAUCAUUUUGACAAGAGGAGAGAAAACGAAACGCGCGAACUGAAUUCACUAAGCGUCUCGACGUUUGUACGUAAUCAACUCGAGGAUUCACUCAGUCGGUAAUACGAUACUUUCAGUCAAACCGGUCGAGUAUCUCGGCUCGAAAUGUUUGAAACGCGGACGAUUUGCCGGUCGGGUGAAGUGUGAUUCUUUAAGUGUAGACUACUUGAAAACACUCAGUGAAACGCGAUAAUAUUCUGCCUCUUCUGCUCGAUUAAAAGGACCGUAUACAGAAGACGAGGCAGUCGAGUUCGACGAGUGAGUCGUGUUCCGGGAUUCUUAACAACAAACAUUCGAGUCAUUAAGACUUCUGACGAUCGAGGAUCAACGAUCGGCGUCGAGAGGCAGCGCCACACAUGCGAGUCAUUCGUAGUAAAUACUGGAGGGCGUACAGAAGCGACCACAACGUGCGUUAAUAAGAGCGGUGGGAGGCGUGUGAUGACCGGGAGGAGACAGAGGAGCGGAAAUACGGGAAGGCAACGGGUUCGGUAAAGAUGCGUGGGCUUGCCGGUCCGCAAGGGCUGAGGAGAUCGGUGUCGCUGUCGUUGGUUUACUACUACUGUCUUCUGGUCCCGGUAUACCACGUGCUCGCCGUGACCAGCGAGCUACCACCCAGGCUCGAUCUGCCCGAGCAUUGUUCCUGGGAGUCGAGACAGGAUGGCGCGGUCACUUGCGUGCAUCGUUACGUCGGCAACGAUUCGCUCAGAACGAACUUUUCUCAAGCUACCAGCGAGUACGUGACCACGGUGAACGUGGUCUGCGAGGAUUCCGAGUCACUGGGAAACGGUGUCCUGAACGUCGACGGGUUCGUACAGUUAUGGAGAUUGCGAUCACUCAGGUUGACUGGAUGCAAGCUGGUACACUGGCCGGCCAAAGUUCUCAGCGGUCUCCGAGAUCUUCGCAAUCUGACGAUCAGAAGCUUGAACGGGCGGAAGAGCAAUUACAGUUUGGAGCUGGAGAACGGCGCGUUCGAUUCGGUCCCGCAGAUCGAGAAGAUUGAUUUAUCGUGGAACAACAUCUGGCAGAUACCGGAACACUUGUUUUGCCCGCUGUCGAACUUGCUCACUUUGAACAUCUCUUGGAACAUGUUGAAGGACAUCGGUGAGCUUAGCUUCAGGGACAUCGAGACGGAGAAACAUCCGAGGCGUCAACAGGAAUCCACCCCGUCGCCGUAUCCAUGUUCCUUGGACGUGCAGUCGUUGGACGUGUCGAACAAUCAAAUUUUGGUGCUGCCUGCUUACGGAUUUUCCUCGUUGAAGAGGCUGCGAGUGUUGAACUUAUCCAGCAACGCGAUCUCCAUGGUAGUGGACGAGGCAUUGCACGGGCUUAGAUCGUUGGAGACGUUCGAUUUGUCGAGCAACAGAAUCGUCGCGUUGCCGACGGAAAUGUUUCGUGACUCGGCGAAAUCUUUGAAGGAGUUACGAUUGCAGAAUAACUCGAUCAGCGUACUGUCGCCGGGCCUGAUCGCCGACAUGAAUCAGCUGGUGGCGUUGGAUCUAUCGAGGAACGCGUUGACCAGCUCGUGGCUAAACUCCGCCACGUUCUCCGGAUUGAUUCGGCUGGUCCUCUUGAAUCUGUCCCAUAAUCGAAUCAGUCGGUUGGACCCAGCCCUCUUCAAAGACCUUUACACCCUGCAGAUAUUGAAUUUGCAGUACAACGAGAUCGAGACGAUACCGGCGGACACGUUCGCGCCGAUGAGUAAUCUGCACACGCUAGAUCUAGCGUACAAUCGAUUAACUUACCUGGACGCUUACUCUCUGAACGGGCUGUUCGCACUUUCCCUGCUGUCGCUCGAUUCUAAUCAACUCGAAGGUAUUCACCCGGAUGCCUUUCGAAAUUGCUCCAGUAUGCAGGACCUGAAUCUGUCCGGGAACAGUCUGGACAGCAUACCGGUCGCAUUGAAGGACAUGAGAAUGCUCCGUACCCUGGACCUUGGUGAGAAUCAAAUCAGAACCUUGAACAGGCCGGGUUUUCGUGGAAUGUCCAGUCUCUACGGAUUACGAAUGAUCGAGAACGAGAUCACGAACGUUACCGUCGAGGAUUUCGCCGAGCUGCCAGCAUUGCAGAUCCUGAAUUUGGCCAGGAACAAGAUCGAAACGGUGGAGGACGGAGUGUUUUCCGCGAACCCGGCUUUACAGGCGAUUCGUUUGGACUCGAAUUUGUUGCAGGACAUGUCCGGUAUGUUCGCGAGCGCGCCCGGUCUCCUAUGGUUGAACAUGUCCGACAACAUGAUCGCUCAGUUCGAUUACAGUUACUUGCCGGAGAAAUUGCAGUGGAUGGAUCUGCAUAAAAAUCUUAUUAUGGAUCUCGGCGUCGCGCCACAGGGAAUGAGAUUACAGACGCUCGACGUGUCGUUCAACCAGCUAACGAGGAUACACUCGAGGUCGAUACCGGAUUCCAUCGAGCUACUGUUCGUCAACGAUAAUCUGAUACAAACGGUCGAACCGCAAACGUUUUUCGACAAGAAGAAUCUGACCAGGGUCGAUCUUUACGCGAAUCAGAUAGUCAAGAUGAACCUGUCCGCGCUUCAGUUGACUCCGGUACCAGCUUACCGACAAUUGCCCGAGUUUUAUAUAGGAGGGAAUCCGUUCAUAUGCGACUGCACCACCGAAUGGUUGCAACGAAUCAAUUCGCUGUCGCUGAGGCAACACCCGAGGGUAAUGGAUCUCGAGUCGGUUUAUUGCCGGCUUCCCUACGAUCGACACAAAUCUUACAUACCGUUGCUCGAGGCUAAACCGUCUCAAUUUCUCUGCACGUACAAGGCUCACUGUUUCGCGCUCUGUCAUUGUUGCGACUUCGACGCGUGCGACUGCGAGAUGACCUGCCCGACCAACUGCACUUGCUAUCACGAUCAAUCCUGGUCGGCGAACGUGGUGGAUUGCUCCAACUCCGGCUACAAAACGCUACCCGGUCGAUUGCCGAUGGACGCAACCGAGGUUUACCUCGAUGGAAACAAUUUCGGGGAAUUGAAUUCCCACUCGUUCAUCGGCCGGAAGAACCUGCAGAUCCUGUACGCGAACGAUAGCAACAUCAUCGCUAUACGGAAUCACACUUUCAGCGGUUUGAAGCGUCUGUUGGUCCUUCAUCUGGAGAACAACAAGAUAAGCGUGCUCAACGGUGUAGAAUUGAUGCCGUUGGAGAACCUGAAGGAGCUCUACCUACAAAACAAUCUACUGACUUAUAUAGAUAACCAAACGUUUCUUCCGCUACGUCAGCUGGAAGUGUUACGGCUGGAGAACAAUCGGCUCGGCACUUUCGCCGUUUGGCAACUCGGACAGAAUCCUUAUCUGGUUGACAUCGGUUUGUCGAGCAACCCAUGGAGCUGCGAGUGCUCUUACUUGGAUCGUGUGCGCGAGUGGAUGUCCCGUAACCGAGCAAAGAUCAGCGACUGGCGUAGCGUCACCUGUUCACUCGGGGUGCCUAUUACUCUUCCGACCAACGGAUCGGUCAUAAAUUGCGCCGCGUUAACCGGCACGACCUCGGUCAUCGAGAGCCGACCGCUCGAGGCUUAUCUGCCGCUACUGCUCGCCACCGCGGUGCUGAUUUUUGCGAUGGUCGCUCUGGUGUGCGGCGCCUUCAGGCAUCGUCGUACGCUAAGGACAUGGGCAGCGAGCAGAUGCGGUUUGAGAGCUUGCUACAAAACUGCCGCGUUCGAGGAUCAGGAGAAACCCUUCGACGCUUACAUCUCCUAUUCGGCUGUCGACGAAGCGUUCGUAUCGACGAUCCUGGUACCAGGUCUGGAGACCUCGUAUCGUUUGUGUUUGCACUACCGGGACCUGGGCGCCGGUAGCAACGUUGCGGAUGCAGUGGCCGAGGCUGCCGAUUCCUCGAGGCGCACCAUCCUCGUGCUGUCCAAGAACUUUCUGCACGGCGAGUGGGCCAGGUUCGAGUUUAAAGCGGCGCUUAGGGACGCUCUGAAAGGGAAGGGCCGUUCGGUGAUCCUGCUGCUGGUAGGCGGUGUGUGUCCACGGGAUCUCGACGCCGAUCUCAAAAAGAGAAUCUCCUCGCACACCGUGCUGGUGUGGGGGGACAAGUUGUUUUGGCAGAAGCUAAGGUUCGCCAUGCCAGACGUGUCCCCUGUUCCUGUUUUGGAGAGACCCCUGCCAUUGCCGCCGCCGCCUCCGCCCCCGGCGCAGCAUCAAUGGACGUAGAACUGCCAUUAUUUAGAUGUGAACUGUUGCCAGAAGUAUUAUCGAUUCGCAUUACGCAUGAAGUAAUUGAAAAUCGCAGUGGGCAAAGGAUUCCCGACUGUUGCGCGACGUUUCUCUCUACUUAUUAUCAAGAAGUAUUUCUUACUAUCGCAAUUGUACUCCGUAACACGGUGUUCUCACCUAAAGUAAACGGUUUAUUCGUAUUUUUGAGACUCGUGAUAGCUUCGUAGUGUGCAAAUGUAAUUAGGGCGAUGAACAGCGAUAAAACAAACCAAAACAAGAACAAAAACAACAGGAAUAAAUGAGAGCGAAGAAAACGAAAAAAAAAAAAACUCACGAAAAAAAAGCAGAAGAAAAAGAAGAAGAAUGAUGAUUAAAUGAAAACCACAUACACAACACAAACACACACAGAGAGCAUACUACCUUUAAUUAACUCGUAAUUGCAACGAAGUAAACAAGUUUUUUCUCUUUCUACUCGAACUCGAAUAGUUUAUUAAAUCCGAUCGAUCGAAUAAUUGUAAGAAUACCUAUCGAUCGAUCGAUUCGGUGAACCUAGAGGGGGUCUAGCGUGUCUCCUCCGAUGAGCGUUCUCUUGUUUCUCGUCGAGCAGGAGAUUUUCAUUGUACAUAGCGAGAGUUUUGUAUAUUUGUAAUAUAGA